rnacentral:rRNA from 1 species
UGGGGAAUUUUGCGCAAUGGACGAAAGUCUGACGCAGCAACGCCGCGUGGGUGAUGAAGGUCUUCGGAUUGUAAAACCCUGUCGUCGGGGACGAAGGUAGGGGCGUGAAUAGCGCCUUUGCUUGACGGUACCCGGAGAGGAAGCCCCGGCUAACUCUGUGCCAGCAGCCGCGGUAAUACAGAGGGGGCAAGCGUUAUUCGGAAUUAUUGGGCGUAAAGGGCGCGUAGGCGGUGAUUUAAGUUGGAUGUGUAAUCCCCGAGCUCAACUUGGGAACUGCAUCCAAGACUGGAUUGCUAGAGUGCUGGAGAGGGUGGUGGAAUUCCUCGUGUAGCGGUGAAAUGCGUAGAGAUGAGGAGGAACACCAGUGGCGAAGGCGGCCACCUGGACAGUAACUGACGCUGAGGCGCGAAAGUGUGGGGAGCAAACAGG